CCCUGAUUAAAGAAUUUUUAGGAUGAAGAUGUGGGUCAUGAGAAAGCCACCUUUAAGUGCGGCUCCUUUGAUUUGAUGAAGAAGGUUGUAGCUAGGCUUUGGAACAACUGCAAUAAUCAAGGCAAUAUAGGUUUCGGAUUAAAGGUUCUGUGAACAAAUCAAUUAGAUGCCUGUUUGAGUUUGCCAUCAAAUGUAGAUGAAAAGGAAGCUGGCAAUAGUUGAGCUAAUGAAAAUCGUGAGUUUUUUUCUUCUGAUUAUUAUUUGUUGAAAAGUAUUUCUU